rnacentral:lncRNA from 1 species
GCCGCUCGUAUGGGUUUUUGGAUCUAGUUUGGUCAAGUCAAGUCGUGUGAGAGUCUAAUUUAGUGUUUUUAUUUCAAUCAGAAGUAGAUAAAGUAGUAGUCUUCUUAAGAUUCUAGAAGACUUAGGCCUAUAUCGUACUUUAGCAUAUUUUUGAGAAGAAGCAUGGAUAAAAUCGAGGAUCGUACGAGUGUUUUUAGUGUCUAUCUUUGCUUGCUUAAUCUUUUAUUUUGUCUUUGCAACUUUGGAUCAUGAGCAUUGUCUUGAAUUCUAAAUCUUAGUUGUGGAGUUUAGUAAUUGAUUUGUUUAUGCAAUACCCAUGUUUUAUGAUGAUCAAGUGUUUGGGUUUUGAUUAUGCUUUAUGAGUAAGGCUUGAAUUGGAGGUGAUUUAAAUUUUUAUUUGCUUAUCUAAAACCUCUGCAAAAACAAGUUUGAUCAAGUUUUCUACUAGGUUGAGAUUUUUUUCCUAUCCUACCCAAUGCCUAAAAAUAUUUAUUCAUACUACCAUAAGCAAGAAUUGACUCAUUGAAUUGAGUUAGGAUUGUCUCUCUUAGUUUGUUUUAAUUCUGAGCAUUGAUCAUAUUCUUUUACCAUCUCUGAUUUCUAGCCUCGUCAAUAUUCAAUAAUGAGAGUUCUUCACUGGAACAAUCAUAUUUUCUACUGAAUUCCUAAACCCGAACCAAAUAUUUCUUUAGUUUAUUACCUAUUCCUUGAACAC